rnacentral:tRNA from 1 species
GGAGAGAUGCGAGAGCGGUCGAAUCGGACGGUCUCGAAAACCGUUGAACCCUUACGGGUUCCGAGGGUUCGAAUCCCUCUCUCUCCG